GCCCUGGUAGCUCAGUUGGAUAGAGCAACGCUUUCCUAAAGCGUAGGUCGUGGGUUCGAGUCCCGCUCAGGGUA
rnacentral:tRNA from 2 species